AUACUUACCUGGCAUAGGACAAACGGUGAUCACCCACGGCCACGUUCUCCCAGGUCGAGGCUCACUCAUUGCACUUCGGGUGGGCUGAAGCCUGCGAUCACCCCAAAUGUGGGUGACUCGGGUGCGUAAUUUUUGCGUAUGGGGAACUGCGUUCGCGCUAAUCCCUG